UACGUAGGGUGCAGGCGUUAAUCGGAAUUACUGGGCGUAAAGCGUGCGCAGGCGGUUUGCUAAGACAGGUGUGAAAUCCCCGGGCUUAACCUGGGAACUGCGCUUGUAACUGGCAAGCUGGAGUGUGGCAGAGGGGGGUGGAAUUCCACGUGUAGCAGUGAAAUGCGUAGAGAUGAUGGAGGAACACCGAUGGCGAAGGCAGCCCCCUGGGCUAACACUGACGCUCAUGCACGAAAGCGUGGGGAGCAAACAGG
rnacentral:rRNA from 1 species